rnacentral:rRNA from 1 species
UACGAAGGGGACUAGCGUUGUUCGGAAUCACUGGGCGUAAAGCGCGCGUAGGCGGCUUUGCAAGUCGGGUGUGAAAUCCCCAGGCUCAACCUGGGAACUGCGUCUGAUACUGGUUGGCUUGAAUCCGGGAGAGGGAUGCAGAAUUCCAGGUGUAGCGGUGAAAUGCGUAGAUAUCGGAAGGAACACCUGUGGCGAAAGCGGCUCACUGGACCAUAACUGACGCUGAGGCGCGAAAGCUAGGGGAGCAAACAGG